GUUAAAACACUGGUUCCUGUAUGAUCACCAAAGUUAAGCAACAUCGAGUCUGAUCAGUACCUAGAUGGGUGACCACUUGGGAAUACCAGGUACUGUAAG